GACUGUAGGAUCUACCUGACGGAAGUUUGAGGCAAUAACAGGUCUGUGAUGCCCUUAGAUGUUCUGGGCCGCACGCGCGCUACACUGACAAAGCCAGCGAGUCUAUCACCUUGGCCGGAAGGUCCGGGUAAUCUUGUGAAACUUUGUCGUGCUGGGGAUAGAGCAUUGCAAUUAUUGCUCUUCAACGAGGAAUGCCUAGUAAGCGCAAGUCAUCAGCUUGCGUUGAUUACGUCCCUGCCCUUUGUACACACCGCCCGUCGCUACUACCGAUUGAAUGGCUUAGUGAGGUCUUCGGAUUGGCUCUGAGAACCCGGCAACGGGAUCUUGUUGCUGAGAAGUUGAUCAAACUUGGUCAUUUAGAGGAAGUAAAAGUCGUAACAAGGUUUCCGUAGGUGAACCUGCGGAAGGAUCAUUAAUGAAACUUCAGUCGGCCUGUCAUCAGUGCUGGUGGGAACACAUGUGCACGUUGACAAGUUGCAAAUCCACAAACCUGUGCAUCUUAUGACUCUGAGUAACCUUUCUGGUGGCCUUUUGGUUGGCUUUAAGGGACUCGAGUAUUUUUACACACACUUGAAUGUAAUGGAAUGUUUAUUGUGCAUUAUGUACAACCAAAACAACUUUCAACAACGGAUCUCUUGGCUCUCGCAUCGAUGAAGAACGCAGCGAAAUGCGAUAAGUAAUGUGAAUUGCAGAAUUCAGUGAAUCAUCGAAUCUUUGAACGCACCUUGCACCCUUUGGUAUUCCGAAGGGUACACCCGUUUGAGUGUCAUUGUAAUCUCACCUUUUCAGCUUUGAUUGUUGAUCAGUGUGGACUUGGAUGCUGCCGUUUAGCAAAUGGCUCGUCUGAAAUGCCUGAGUGUACCCUGUUGUGUGGUGUAUUCAGUGUGAUAAACCUUCACUGGAGAUGGUCUUGGGACCGCACCUCUUUGACAUGGCUCUAUGCUUCCAACCGUCUUUGAAAGACAAUACUCUGACAAUUUGACCUCAAAUCGGGUGGGACUACCCGCUGAACUUAAGCAUAUCAAUAAGCGGAGGAAAAGAAACUAACUAGGAUUCCCUUAGUAACGGCGAGUGAAGAGGGAAAAGCUCAAAUUUUGAAUCGGGUGUCUUUGGCACCUGAAUUGUAAUCUAGAGAAGUGUUUUCUGUGUUGGACCAUGCACAAGUCCCCUGGAAUGGGGUGUCAUAGAGGGUGAGAAUCCCGUAUUUGGCAUGGAUUUCGAUGCUCUGUGAUACACUCUCAACGAGUCGAGUUGUUUGGGAAUGCAGCUCAAAAUGGGUGGUAAAUUCCAUCUAAAGCUAAAUAUUGGCGAGAGACCGAUAGCGAACAAGUACCGUGAGGGAAAGAUGAAAAGCACUUUGGAAAGAGAGUGAAACAGUACGUGAAAUUGUUGAAAGGGAAGCAUUUGAAGUCAGUCAUGUCCAUUGGAAUUCAGCCUGGCUUUAGCCUGGUGUACUUUCCUUUGGACUGGUCAGCAUCAGUUUCGACCAAGGGAAAAAGGCACAAGGAAUGUGACUGUCUUCGGGCAGUGUUAUAGCCUUGUGUUGUAUGUCUUGGUUGGGACUGA
rnacentral:rRNA from 1 species